rnacentral:rRNA from 1 species
GACAGAGGGUGCGAGCGUUGUUCGGAAUUACUGGGCGUAAAGCGUGCGUAGACGGUUAUUUAAGUCGGGUGUGAAAGCCCCGGGCUCAACCUGGGAAUUGCAUUCGAGACUGAAUAGCUAGGGUACGGUAGAGGGAAGCGGAAUUUCCGGUGUAGCGGUGAAAUGCGUAGAUAUCGGAAGGAACAUCAGUGGCGAAAGCGGCUUCCUGGACCAGUACCGACGUUCAGGCACGAAAGCGUGGGAGCAAACAGG